UGGGGAAUAUUGCACAAUGGGCGCAAGCCUGAUGCAGCCAUGCCGCGUGUGUGAAGAAGGCCUUCGGGUUGUAAAGCACUUUCAGCGAGGAGGAAGGGUAGUGUGUUAAUAGCACAUUGCAUUGACGUUACUCGCAGAAGAAGCACCGGCUAACUCCGCGCCAGCAGCCGCGGUAAUACGGAGGGUGCAAGCGUUAAUCGGAAUUACUGGGCGUAAAGCGCACGCAGGCGGUUUGUUAAGUCAGAUGUGAAAUCCCCGCGCUUAACGUGGGAACUGCAUUUGAAACUGGCAAGCUAGAGUCUUGUAGAGGGGGGUAGAAUUCCAGGUGUAGCGGUGAAAUGCGUAGAGAUCUGGAGGAAUACCGGUGGCGAAGGCGGCCCCCCUGGACAAAGACUGACGCUCAGGUGCGAAAGCG
rnacentral:rRNA from 1 species